GGAGUUUGGGCCGUGUCUCAGUCCCAAUGUGGCCGGUCACCCUCUCAGGUCGGCUACUGAUCGUCGCCUUGGUGGGCUGUUAUCUCACCAACUAGCUAAUCGGACGCGAGCCCAUCUUUAACCGGAUUGCUCCUUUGACCCCUUCGCCAUGUAGCGUUGUGGUCUCAUGCGGUAUUAGCACAUCUUUCGAUGCGUUAUCCCCCUGUUAAAGGCAGGUUGCUCACGCGUUACUCACCCGUCCGCCGCUGAAACAUCCAAAAAGCAAGCUUUCCAAAUGUCUCCGCUCGACUUGCAUGUGUUAGGCACGCCGCCAGCGUUGUCCUGAGCCAGGAGUCAAACUCU
rnacentral:rRNA from 1 species